rnacentral:rRNA from 1 species
UACGUAGGGGGCAAGCGUUGUCCGGAAUCAUUGGGCGUAAAGAGCGUGUAGGCGGUUCGGUAAGUCCGUCGUGAAAGUCCAGGGCUCAACCCUGGAAAGCCGAUGGAUACUGCCGGACUAGAGUCCGGAAGAGGCGAGUGGAAUUCCUGGUGUAGCGGUGAAAUGCGCAGAUAUCAGGAGGAACACCUAUGGCGAAGGCAGCUCGCUGGGACGGCACUGACGCUGAGACGCGAAAGCGUGGGGAGCAAACAGG